rnacentral:rRNA from 1 species
GUAGGUGGCAAGCGUUGUCCGGGAUUUAUUGGGGCGUAAAGCGAGCGCAGGCGGUUUCUUAAGUCUGAUGUGAAAGCCCCCCCGGGCUCAACCGGGGGAGGGGUCAUUGGAAACUGGGAGACUUGAGUGCAGAAGAGGAGAGUGGAAUUCCAUGUGUAGCGGUGAAAUGCGUAGAUAUAUGGAGGAACACCAGUGGCGAAGGCGGCUCUCUGGUCUGUAACUGACGCGGAGGCUCGAAAGCGUGGGGAGCGAACAGGAUUAGAUACCCUGGUAGUCCACGCCGUAAACGAUGAGUGCUAAGUGUUGGAGGGUUUCCGCCCUUCAGUGCUGCAGCAAACGCAUUAAGCACUCCGCCUGGGGAGUACGACCGCAAGGUUG